CCUGGUUAGGACCUGGGAUGCCGGAAAUCUGAGACUCUGCCUUCCCCUCCUGAGACACUCUGAAACCCUGCUUAGAAAUCGAGCACAAUGGCUCUGGCCUCCCAGAGAAAGACACGGAUUUGCAAAGGCAAAGAGCUGCAUUUUUCUCCGAGCUGGAGCUCUUUCCGGUUUCCACUAUGGGGCUUAAACAAAACUGCAGCUUUACAGUUCCCCUGUUGGUGUUUUCUCCUUCUUGGUGACUAACAAGGUGGAAGAGCCAACAAGAACCCUGUGUGCUCCUUUGCAGGACCUGGAAGGGACAGGUGGUGCCCUGCCCCAGGAGUCCUCCUGCUCAGGAGCCUGGGAGUUGAGGAGGUCUGGAAGCAGUGGGCCCACAGUGCCAUCGCCUUGGGAACCCACAGUGCCUUGGAUGUGGCUCCCUCGGUCCUAGCUUUGCAGGCAGCCUACCUGGACUGCACCCACCUCCCAGAAGAGCUGCUCAGAAUCCUGCAUGUCCGAAAGAAAGACCAAUCAAAGAAGUGAGGAAGCCAAAGAGAGGCCUAUGAAAGCUUAUGACGCAUUUUCCAAGUGCACACCCCAGCAACUUCAAAUGCUUUCUGAAACUCUCCCCAGGAAAAAGCAGUGUGCAUGGACCGCUACCUGGUCACACCUUGAGAUAGCCACUUUCAUCCUCUCUGGAACACCGCCUGGGGGGAUGCAGCACAGGGCAUCCAAGCAACCCCUGAGCUCAGGGUAGAGACACCAGGAAGCAGCAGGCAGGCCGUGACCCCGCAGGCCUGCUCCAUGGCUCCUGCUGCCUGCACCAUGGCAUGAAGCUCAGAUGCAUCUCUGGACUUGGGGUUCUGACCAGAUGGAGCCACCAAUCCUCUGAAGAAUGAAACACACAGGGGUCACCCUUGCCUCCUAGCUGCAGGGAAUGACGACCACCCAGCCCUUCCUUUCCUCAAAUCUUCUCCAGGCUUCUGUGCAUGGCUCUGCUGACCUUCCUCCUGUCUCUGGCUAUUCUCUCAGCCUCUGCCGUCUCCUCCUCCGCCCUCACCCACGGAGUCAGUCCUGGUGCCUUGAGAGCCCCUCUCCCUAGCUGACUUCACCCAGCCCCUGAGCAUUCAAUGCCAACAAUGCCACCUUCUUU
rnacentral:lncRNA from 1 species